AUUGAACGCUGGCGGCAGGCCUAACACAUGCAAGUCGAGCGAGCGGCGGACGGGUGAGUAAUGUAUGGGGAUCUGCCCGAUAGAGGGGGUUAACUACUGGAAACGGUGGCUAAUACCGCAUACUAUCCGAUGAACCCAUAUGGGAUUCGCUAGUAGGUGGGGUAAAGGCUCACCUAGGCGACGAUCUCUAGCUGGUCUGAGAGGAUGAACAGCCACACUGGGACUGAGACACGGCCCAGACUCCUACGGGAGGCAGCAGUGGGGAAUAUUGCACAAUGGGCGCAAGCCUGAUGCAGCCAUGCCGCGUGUAUGAAGAAGGCCUUCGGGUUGUAAAGUUCUUUUAGCGGGGAGGCGGUACCCGCAGAAGAAGCACCGGCUAACUCCGUGCCAGCAGCCGCGGUAAUAC
rnacentral:rRNA from 1 species